rnacentral:tRNA from 1 species
CGCGGGGUGGAGCAACGGUAGCUCGUCGGGCUCAUAACCCGAAGGCUGGAGGUUCGAGUCCUCCCCCCGCAACCA